AUUUUUAUGUAAGCUGUUUCAUUUCGCGUGCUUCGGACUGAGUAUGGAUGCAUAAACGAACGUCUCUCUCCUUGAAAUUUCACCACCGAUUCCGUGUGUUUUGAGCUGCUUGUUGGGAAUUCUAUGAAUGCAGAGUUGUUCAAGGUCUUUGGGAUGUACCUGAUGUACUGUGGUGGCCGCAGAAUCAUUCAGUGACUUGGUCGAACACACCACCACACACAAAAAGCAAUCUAUUUCAAGGGUUUGCUUUCCAAUACAUACCCAACAAUAGCAAUGCUGAAUAGAUAACAACAUACCAGAAACAUUACAUUUAUGGACAAAAAAUCCUUUGAAACACAAAAUAUGAUACCAGUAUUUCUUCUGGCCAUCCUUUUCUGUUUGAAUUGGUGAAAUCGGUAAUAUUUCCAAUUUACUGGCUACAGAAGCUAAUGUAUUGUCUAUUUUACCUGAGAAAGUUUUAUCCAUCAAGAGGCUGGAGGACUGCAGAAAUGAAGAAUUCUUCUUACCCCCUGUGGCCUGUGCUAAAAUGAAGCACAACUGUAGUGUGUACUUCUUCAAAGAAGGAUAAACACUUAUUACCUGCAACAAUGUUGAUAAUGACAUUAUAAGAAAACUUCAAAAUCUAGUAUUGUCAGUUGAUUCGUAGGUUGAAAUUCCGCUCAGGCUUUACACAUUCUACAGUUAAAGUACUGACAGGUGACAUGUAAAGUUGAAUUUAUGUGUGGUGAUGACACAAACAUGUGGAGAUUCGCUGGCAAAAUGUUGGACCCUUCAUCGGAAACGAUUUUAUUAAAAACUUUCUGCUACCAGUGUGUUUUUGUUCCUCUUCCUGUAAAGGAAACACCAAACUUGAUGUUGCUCUUGUGAUGAUGAAUCUGGAUUAUUGGUAAGGUCUGCUUAUAGUUGCACUAAUCUUUGUGAUACCUCUUUACUAAGGGAAAUAUUGAAAUAUAAAAUGAUUAGUCAUUUAAGUUAUGAAAAUUCCUUCAUAAUAAACAAAUUUCAUAAAUCUGGAACAGUUUGUUGAAACUUUGAAGAAAUACUUCAUCCUAUCUUAUUUCUCUUAGAAUCUUUUCAUUGCUAGAGUAUUUUCCUCUUCUCAUUAAGGAAUAACCUAACUUAAUGUUGCCUUGUGAUGGAUUGGGAUUAUUGCUAUUCCUUUCAUAUAUGUUAUCGUGGCGAAUGGUAAUGUUAAUGUUUGUCUGAGGUCGGAAAAUAGAAAGCGUCACCAACUAUCUGAUCGCUCUCAUCUUCGGUAAGGAGCUUUUAAAAACCUGUGCUGAUAAAUUUUUGGUGGAAAAUUUUACGUCGAAGACUGGUGAACUUGCUUGGUCCCACGGUUACGUCAAAAUCUGGGACACGUCCGUGUCAUUGACUGAAAGCGAGCGACUCAUCAUCUCAUCCAGUUGGCUUCUAGCCUGUUUGGAUUUCGACAAAAAGGAGUCACUGCUGGUGGAUAUCCCAUCAAUUCUGCAACAUUCCACAUGAUUCCUCGACUGCAUCUGAUUGUCAACGAUGUGGAUGAAAUCGUCAUUUCGCUAAACCAGCACACGGCUAGUCUAAAGAGAAAA
rnacentral:lncRNA from 1 species